rnacentral:rRNA from 1 species
CCUACGGGGGGCAGCAGUGAGGAAUAUUGGUCAAUGGGCGUAAGCCUGAACCAGCCAAGCCGCGUGAGGGAUGAAGGUUCUAUGGAUCGUAAACCCCUUUUAGAAGGGAAUAAAGUGUGGGACGUGUCCUGUUUUGUAUGUACCUUAUGAAUAAGGAUCGGCUAACUCCGAGCCAGCAGCCGCGGUAAUACGGAGGAUCCGAGCGUUAUCCGGAUUGAUUGGGUUGAAAGGGUGCGUAGGCGGCCUUUUAAGUCAGCGGGGAAAGUCUGUGGCUCAACCAUAGAAUUGCCGUUGAAACUGGUAGGCUUGAGUGUGUGUGAGGCAGGCGGAAUGCGGGGUGUAGCGGUGAAAUGCGUAGAUAUCACGCAGAACCCCGAUGGCGAAGGCAGCCUGCCAGGCCAUGACUGACGCUGAUGCACGAAAGCGUGGGGAUCAAACAGGAUUAGAUACCCUGGUAGUC